rnacentral:rRNA from 1 species
AUGAGGCGCUCCUCCAAGAAGUCGUCGUCGUCGUCCGCCGCGGCCGGUGAGGAACAAGUAAAUGAAAAACAAAACAGAAAAAGAAAAGGAGUCAGUACAAACCUGACCAGCAGGAAAGCACAACGUGUUCCCACUAAAGCGGUUUCAAAGGAAAUAGAGCGGAUUGACCAACUUUUCUAUACAUAUGCUGAUGGCUCAUCCAGCAUGAUUGACCCAGAAGGCAUCGAAACACUCUGCUCUCAUCUUGAAGUUCCACAUACAGAUGUUCGGAUUCUGAUGUUAGCAUGGAAAAUGGGCUGUGAAAAGCAAGGUUAUUUUACUCUGGAUGAAUGGAGAACUGGGAUGAAAGCUCUGCGAGCUGAUAGCAUCAGUAAACUGAAGAAAGCCUUUCCUGAACUGGUCCAAGAAGUUACGAGGUCCUCUAAUUUCCAGGAUUUCUAUCCAUAUGCAUUCCGUUAUUGCCUAACAGAGGACAAGAAGAAGUGUAUAGAAAUACCUGUUGCUUGUGAGUUAUUGAAUCUAGUGUUGAGCUUGCAGUUCCGCCCGCAGGUUGAAAAACUUAUUAAUUACCUCAAGCAUCAAAAUGAGUACAAGGUUAUAAACAUGGAUCAAUGGAUGGGAUUUCUUCGGUUCUGCAAUGAGAUAAACUUCCCAUCACUUGACAAUUACGAUGCAGACCAAGCUUGGCCUUUAAUUUUAGACAAUUUUGUUGAAUGGUUAAGAGCAAGUGAAAAUUAG